rnacentral:rRNA from 1 species
AUGGGCUUGUGUGGCUGGGCGCCCACGAGCGUGGAUGUGACCACGAAGCUCGGGCGGACAUGGCGGGCACGGAAACAGCAACUAUGGUGGCAAAUGAAGAACGGGGCGUGGAGGAAGCGGAGAAGAAGCUCACUGGGCCCUGUAGUCGUGCAAAAGCGAGCUCGGGGAUGCCGAAGAGGCUCGGGGUGGAGCGGAUCGAAGACGACCGACGAUGACGACCCGAGACAAAGACGAUGUGGGCGACGGAGAUGGGGACUCCUCCAAUCCGAUGGCGCAGAGGGUGAGGUAGAUGACGACGGUCCUCCAGGGCUCGUCGGCGUGGCGGGGGAGGGUCGGUGGCCACAUCGAGGCGAGGUGGCCGACGGCGAACGCAAAGGGAUCUGGGGAGAGGGAGAGAGGAGGAGUGGGGAGCGAGGGGGCAAGUGGGAGAGGGGAUCGAGGGGGCGCGGCGUCAGCGACCUUAUCCCCUCCGGGGACUGUAGCGGCGUGGGCAGGCGAGGCGGUCGGGGGAAGAAUGCGAGCGCCCCGGCCGUUCUAACAAUGGGGAGGGAGACGACCGGGGGAGUGGGGUUGGUGGAGGUGGGCUGGGCUGUGGAUUUGUUCUCUAUUGAUAGUGACACAAGCUCUAGCAUAGUGGAAUGGGCAAUGCCCGAGCUUUUCCAAAACCCAUCAUCAAUGUCUAGUGCUUGGAGCGAGCUUGCAGAAGUUAUUGGCUCCAAAAGAAACAUUGAAGAAGAUGAUAUUGUUCGGUUGCCCGAUGUCCAAGCUGUCAUAAAAGAAACUUUUCGACUUCAUCCUCCCGGCUCGCUAUUGUUGCCACACAAACCCAAGAGAACAAUGAAAAUAGUAGGUCGAGAUAAAGAUGGAUGGACUGAACCUGAGAAGUUUAUGCCAGAGAGGUUCUUGGGUUCCGCAGUUGACUUCAAGGGUGCUGAUUUCGAGCUCCUUCCAUUUGGUGCUGGACGUCGGAUCUACCCUGGAAUGCCAUUGACUAUUAGGAUGGUGCGUCUGGUCCUCGCUUCGUUGUUAAAUCAAUUUAAGUGGAGUCUCCCUGUUGAGCUUGAAAGGGAUGGGAUUGAUAUGGAAGAAAAGUUUGGCCUAUCACUAACGAAGGCCAUGCCUCUUCGUAUUGUACCAACCCCGAUUUGA